rnacentral:tRNA from 1 species
UCCCUGGUGGCUCACAUGGUAAAGCGUCUGCCUAUAAUGCGGGAGACCCAGGUUCAAUCCCUGGGUUGGGAA